GGGUCGAUGGCGUAGUUGGUUAUCGCAUCUGUCUAACAUGGUCCAAAGGAUGGAUGGUUCACAGAAGGUCCUCAGUUCAAACCUGGGUCGACUCA